CUCGCGCUUGCAGCGGCUUGCUUGUACCGCAGAACCACCUCACAUCAUGCUCUGCCCCUCCAAAACGAGCUCUUCCUGACGCAUCAACAGACAGGGGAGGGGGGAGUCCGCUCUGGAUGGAAUCGAGUGACUGAUAAGCGC
rnacentral:misc_RNA from 1 species